GUCUGCAACCCGACUCCACGAAGCUGGAUUCGCUAGUAAUCGCGCAUCAGCCACGGCGCGGUGAAUACGUUCCCGGGCCUUGUACACACCGCCCGUCAAGCCAUGGGAGCCGGGGGUACCUGAAGUGCGUAACCGCGAGGAUCGCCCUAGGGUAAAACUGGUGACUGGGGCUAAGUCGUAACAAGGUAGC
rnacentral:rRNA from 1 species